CAGGGAACUACUGCAGGAAUUAACAUGAAAGCCUCAGGAGUCCCAAAAGCCAUGGUCCCAGAGCAGAGAGACCCUGGAAUCAUCCCUGUUUCUAGUUUUGUCCUUGAGCUCAGCUAUUUAAUCUCUCUUGUCAUUGUUUCAGGCCUUCUCGGACCAUUCCAGACUUACCAGCAUAGGAGCAGCAGUUUUCUCCUGUUGGUCUUGAGGGUGCAGCAUCUGUGUAGCCUGCGGCUGUUGGUCCCAGAGCCAUGGAUCGGUACACAUUAUUCAUGCACUGAAGAAGCACGUGUCGUGAAUCUGCUAGAUCUGGCCUAAGUAGUCAGGGAGAUGCAGAGGAAGUGGAGACACGGGUCACGCCUUUCAGUGACUUCAAACCUGGUGGCCAAGUUCACGUGUGAGGCAUUUGACUCUGCCUUUGCUUCCAUCCCCACUUGGGGGACUUAAGGCACAUUUUUACCCUCUGGGCCUCUGUUUCCUGCUGGGAAAAUGGACAUUAAAGAUGUAUGUCGCAAACAUCUUCUUGUGCUUGUGGGCGGGGCAGGUUCAGAUUGGUCAGCACCAGGGAGGGGAACAGGAAAAAAUGAUGCAAAAUGGAAGAUUCUCCAACGUGGCCUCAAGAGCAACACAGUGAGCACCCUUGUGGCCCUUCCAAGCGCGUGGCUGCCCCAAGUGAGCAGCCUGUCCCCGCCGUCACUGGGGUACAGGACCGGAGAAAGAGUCUUCGAGACUUGGAACUUGAGACUUAUCCUGGUUUUAAAGAUGAAGUGAGUCAUUUGCCCCUGACCUUGGCAUUUCCCUCCUAGCAGGUGAGUUAGUGAGGGGUCAGGUGAAAGCCAAACUCUCAAAGAUGAGGAGAAGCCGGUUACCUGAGUGAAAUUAGGUACAGGCUGAAAGAGGCUCCCAGUUAGUCCUGCCAAGCUCAGUGUAUUCCAAAAGUGUAAUAAUAGACCUCCAGUUAUCUAGGCUUGGGUCUUCCUGUCACUUUUGGGGGAUAACUAAAACAAUCAGUUAAGGAAUUUUAGUGAUUAUUGACUGGGAACAUUGAUGACAUAAUAAUUCUAACUAUGAUCAUUAAUGCUAUUAACAAGAGUUGUGCUGAAUCCGUAGUAAAACCAUCUAAGGCAACUUAUAAAAAUUGCCGUUUUUCUGCUUUGAUAUAGAAAGCAGUUGUUCAGAAUUUUCACAGCUCGACUUUGACCCUGGUACUAUAAUUGAGAUGUUGGGUUUUUAUUCCUCUGCCUAAACCUUUUCCAGCCAAUAAUGUUACUUGACCUCUGGUGUUUCCCACAUGGCCAAAUCUCUCAACAUGAAGGAAGAAAUGCACGAACUGUUUUGACUGCCCUCUUAAAAAUCCAGCUGUAGAAAAGGCUAUUUUUACUGUAUCUUUUAUUUUUUCUUCAGAUCUUGGCUGGCUUUUCUUUCCUAUUAAAAAGGGUAGCUAGUCACUUAAUGUUCUGUGACUGGCUGGAAGUAUGCUGUCAGCCAUCUUGAAAUUGUCAUAGCUCAGAUAAAAGAUUGGUACUUACCUCUGCUCUGCUGUGUUCUUUUGGAUAAUCUGAAGAGGAAGGCUGGGGGUGGUGAUUUUAUUUUAUCUGGAAGAGAAUUCUGAAAAAAAAAAGUCAUUUCCCACAAGCAAAACACUCAGUGGAUCAGCGGUGGUCAAGCGUGUCUCUGGUCUAUGUGAGAAUCAUUUUCUCUGCAGCAGAAUAAAGAGAGGAGACUGUGUUACAUGGCAACUGUGGCGGCUUCAAGACACUGCUGAGUCCAGAUUGGAUUUCUAAAGAUUGAAAGAAAAUUCUAGAAACAAAAAAAUUAAAAAUGAUAAGAAAGACCCUGACUCUCCCAUACUUUCCUCAGAGAAUUCUUUGUUCUCUUCAAAGAACGGACAAAGCCUGGGUUUUUCUCCAGAGCAGAAAGGAUAAAGCCUUCCUUUUCUCCUUCUUUGAUGCCAUUUAACCCUGUUACCUACAGAGCAGAGAAAUGCAAAAAAGACAACUGCCCGGUCUGAUCUAUGUUGAUCAAAAAUAUGGUUAAGAUUUGACAUUUAAAAAUGUUGUUACAGUAAAGGACACACUGUCAUUAAUUCCCUUCAGAAUAUUCACCCUCACUUUGGACACUCAUACCCCAUUGUUUGUGCCAUUUUCUGCAGCAGUUCUGGAAUCUUCUUUCGUGAGUGUCUUCAGUUGUGCUGUCCUGGCUGCCUCGAUGUCUGAAUAGAUUAAAAACGCUGAUCUCUUAUGGUCAUUUUGACUUUAGGGUCUUCCCAGAAGUUACACAGUGCCAAGUCUGGGGAAUAAGGUGGGCAAGAGCGUAGUGUCAUGUGUUUGAUAGAAACUGCAAUAAAUGUUUGAUCGAUAAGGGUUGAUCAAAACUAUGGUGUAUAUUUAAAUGUCAAAAAUUCAUGACAGUGAAGGACAUAUCACCAUUAACCCUCCUCAAAAUACUCCUCUUAUCCCAUCAUUCCUAAUAAUGUGUCUUUUUUAAUAAUACACUUUUUUAAAAAAUGCAAACAUUCACCAUAGUUUUCUAUUAUCCCUUGUGUGUACCCUGCAUACCUCCACACACAUCGUACUUGGCGCCUGUAAAUUACCUGUGUUCUGUGUCCCAUCUCUGCGCUGGAACAAUAGCAUUGUGUUCGAUGAUGAGCAAUAGAAUAGACUACAUGUAUAACCAUCACCUUAAAGUGUUCUGGAAUUGCUAUCAUGAAUUAGGAAAAAUCUCAGUCAGAGUUCUCUACCCUGGCAAGGCAAAGACAGUAUUUUCAGAUGACACCACACUCGCUACCUAGGAAACUCAACAACACCCAGUGGGAAAUUCUUAGAAACUGGAGAUAAAUAAACAAAACCCACAUUAAGAAGCUAUCAUAUUUUGACUUAGAAAUUAGUAUAAAAUAUUUCUGGCUUCCUGAACAAGAUACAAGGUGACUUAGUCCACCUUGAGUCCACCUGUGGACUCAGCAUCAGGCACGGAGAUGCAGCAUCACCCUUGGGGCUCAGCUGAGAGGCCAUGUGGGGUGCACACUGCAUCACCUGGAUGUGGGUUUUCCUGUGCACCAGCUCAACUUCCUCCAUCACCUGCUGCCACGAGCAUCCCUGUGCAUCUUUCCUUUUUGCAUGUGUGGGUGUCCCUCUGUCCCCCAGGGAUCUGAGGUUUGCACCAGGAACCAGGGAGCAUCCUGUGUGUCUUCACCUUCUCUAGACAGCACAGUUGCUUCCAAUUUCUGUUCCAGACAGCGUGUGUGCAGAUUCUCAGGGUUUCCCACCCCUCAUCACAGCUGCUGUCACUAGCCACCUGCUUCACUGUCUGCAGGAACGAUGCAGACAGUAAAAGAGAAAUCAAGACUCCACUUCCAAGAGCAAUGAGAAAGCUCUACAAAUUUAUAGGGAGAAAACGAAAAUACUUUUUAAAAAAUGAUGUGAAUAUCUCUAAAAGAUUGUAGUAAAUAAAAGACACAUUUUCAUAAGACUCUAAGUUGAAAAGAAAACAGUUUAAAUUAUUCUAUAAAUUCAAACUGAAAGUUAAUUCUCUCUACAUAUUUGAAAAGAAUCUAUACAGGAAAGUAGCCACAGUAUUUUUAAUGAAGGGAAAUGUGGAAGGGGUGACCCUAGUGCUUGCAGUUAUUAAAUUACUUGUUGAAGCAAGACACCAACCAUGAUCAUGUAAGCAGCAGUUCCAGAAAGUUCUUGAGAAUAACAUAGUGGAAAAGUGCAAAUCAUUGGAUAAAAUAUAGAGUCAAUAAAUAUUACUGAGUUAGGGCUAAUAGUUAAACAAACUUGAAUCUGUACCUCAUUAUUGUAUACAUACAAUUUAGGAGAACUAAACAUUUUAAUUAAAAAAUAAAACUAACAUGAUAAAUAAAAUGUUGAGUGAUUAUGAUUUUGGGCACAAAGCAAGAAGCCACCAAGAAGAGAUCUGACCACAUCCAAGUGAAAAUCUUCAUCUCAGUGAUGAAAUCUGAGCAUAUAAAGAAAAACAAGCUAGAGAGAUCGGGAGAACAUGGCGGACAGACAACAGCAACUUCUGAACGCUCUCUAAAGGCUCGGCUCAGAGGCCAGGAAUGAUGCGGACUAAGGAGAUACGAACCAGUAGAGAUAUGCUCUGCUGACUCAGGAACGAACUGGGCUGAGAGAAUCCAACUUGGAAUACAGUCCUGGCGCUAAAAUAGGAACAGAAAAAUCUCGGUGUGGAGACUCGACUCCGCGCCAUCGGAAACCGCGGUUUGUAUUUCCUGCCGCCGCCCGGCGGCCGGCUACCUCCACAGCGGCUCAGCAAGGAGAGACGCGACCGCCGAGCUCUGGGAACGGGAGUCUCCAAACGGAGUCCCCACGCCAUCGGAAACCGCGGUUUAGAUUUCCCGCCGCCAGGCGCCCGGCUACCUCCAUAGCGGCUCGGCAAGGAGAGACGCGCAGAGGCUUGGGAACGGGAAUCUGCGAACGGAGUCGGAAACGCGACGGCCAGGGAGGAAGGCUGACUGGUGGCGAGGUGAGCGAGGAACUGACUCCCUACCGCAGUUUGACUCCAGCGGAGGUUUUUCUGGGCGCGGGCAGUCCUGUAAGAGCAGGGCGUGGUGGCAACUGCAGCCGCACAUUUCCCUCUCGGACGGGAUUGGUGAAAGGUGCCUGGCCGGAGGGACGCUGCUCGCGGACUCCCUAGGCUGGCCUAGCCCAGAUCCCAGAGCCUGACGGUGGCCCGGAGGAGCGACCGACUCCCGCGUAGGCUGCCUCCUCCGCAACUCCCUGGGGCGCAGCGGUGAGCGGGAACAACUAGCCAGCGCAAUUUGAUCAAGCUGUGGCUGGCAGGCAGGGAAGCCGGGCCUCCUGUGUAAGAUUACAUUUUAUAAGGAACAGAAAAUAUGGGGAAGGGAAGCAACAAAAAAGGCUCCUCGACCCCCAAUCCUGAGAAUCAGGCAAUUGUGGACACUGCACCAUUAUACAUUAAGCGCCAUUUAGAGAGCCUCAUAGACCAAUUCAGGAAUGAAGUUAUCAAUGACCUGAAGCUAGAAGUAUGCAGAAUAGUUAGAGAAA